rnacentral:rRNA from 1 species
GACGAACGCUGGCGGCGUGCUUAACACAUGCAAGUCGAACGGAAAGGCCCUGCUUUUGUGGGGUGCUCGAGUGGCGAACGGGUGAGUAACACGUGAGUAACCUGCCCUUGACUUUGGGAUAACUUCAGGAAACUGGGGCUAAUACCGGAUAGGAGCUCCUGCUGCAUGGUGGGGGUUUGAAAGUUUCGGCGGUUGGGGAUGGACUCGCGGCUUAUCAGCUUGUUGGUGGGGUAGUGGCUUACCAAGGCUUUGACGGGUAGCCGGCCUGAGAGGGUGACCGGCCACAUGGGGACGGAGAUACGGCCCAGACUCCUACGGGAGGCAGCAGUGGGGAAUAUUGCACAAUGGGCGGAAGCCUGAUGCAGCAACGCCGCGUGCGGGAUGACGGCCUUCGGGUUGUAAACCGCUUUAGCCUGUGACGAAGCGUGAGUGACGGUAAUGGGUAAAGAAGCACCGGCUAACUACGU